AAAGGAACAACUUGAAAUUAGGAAGAAAAGAAAAAGAAAAGAACAGAAAGAGAAGGAAAAUGGAAUGGAAACGCAAAUAAGCAAUUCGUGACCAUUUGAUGCUGUACGGUCAUCCCCUCAUUCUCUCUGUGCUCUACACUUUCUCCUCAUUUACACAGAGAACACAGAUCGGAUCGGAGUAGACCUAAAUGGCGGCGUCGAGGCGGCUCCGGGAUCUGCAAUCGCAAUCGGGAAACAAGACUUGCGUCGAUUGCGCUCAGAAAAACCCUCAAUGGGCAUCUGUAUCCUACGGCGUCUUCAUGUGCUUAGAGUGCUCCGGCAAGCAUCGGGGUCUCGGUGUCCACAUCUCCUUCGUCCGAUCUGUCACCAUGGAUUCGUGGUCCGAGAUCCAGAUCAAGAAGAUGGAAGCCGGUGGCAACGACCGCCUCAAUGCCUUCCUCUCUCAGUAUGGUAUCCCUAAGGAGACGGAUAUUGUCACCAAGUACAAUACCAACGCCGCCAGUGUUUAUCGGGAUCGGAUUCAAGCCUUGGCCGAAGGCCGUUCCUGGCGGGACCCUCCCGUUGCCAAGGAGAAUGUCGGUGCUGGCUCCAAGAAGCCGCCUUUAGCUCAAGGCGGUGCUAGGAAUGGCAACACCGGGGGUUGGGAUACUUGGGAUAACGACGAUGGAUUCAGAUCUUCUUCUUCGACGAAUGACAUUAGGCGGAACCAAUCCACGGGCAAUGUUAGAGGGGUUGGGGAUGGACAUGGGAGCAUGCCUGCCCGGUCGAAAUCGACGGAGGAUAUCUACACGAGGGCGCAAUUGGAAGCCUCUGCUGCCAGCAAGGAUAGCUUUUUCCAACGUAAGUUGGCAGAAAACGAUUCCCGACCAGAGGGACUUCCACCGUCACAAGGUGGCAAGUACGUGGGUUUUGGAUCGAGGCCCGCUCCGCCUUCUCAGAGGAAUAACAACGCCCAAGGCGAUGUGCUAUCGGUUGUCUCUCAGGGAUUUGGUAGAUUAUCACUGGUUGCUGCAUCCGCUGCUCAAUCGGCUGCAAGUGUUGUUCAAGCAGGCACAAAAGAGAUCACUUCUAAGGUCAAAGAAGGUGGUUACGAUUACAAGGUGAAUGAAACUGUUAAUGUUGUAACUGCAAAGACUUCUGAGAUUGGACAGAAGACAUGGGGGAUUAUGAAAGGGGUCAUGGCAAUAGCCUCACAGAAGGUUGAAGAGUACGCCAAAGAAGGAAGUACCUGGAAGGCUGAUAACUGGCAACGUAAUGAUAGUGAGCAAAAUGGAUACUAUCAAGAGUUUAAGCAGAACAAAGAUAUGAAUUCUUCCUCUGGUGGGCAGACCUCUUCGACUGGGCAUGUUAAUUCUUUUAACUCGUCUUCUUGGGAUGAUUGGGACCAAAAAGACAACAGGAAGGAAGAAUCAACAAAGGGUAAAUCAUCUCACAACAACGAUGAUUGGGCUGGGUGGGAUGAUCCAAAAGAAGAUGGAUAUGAUAGUUUCUACCAGAGUGCAUCUGAUACGAAAGCGGUUGGUCAGAAUGGAAAGUCUGAUGCCACAUGGACAGGGGGAGGCUUUCUCUAAGAUUGCCGCGUCAUUGUAUUUUGGUAAUUUAGUUGAUAUGGACAUCAACUAAAAAUAUACAAUUUUUGGUAGAAUCGUGUUUCUUGUUCUGAGAAAACUCGUGGUUGAGCCAUAAAUAGUGGUACUCGGUUACUAGUAGAUCUCAAAGGGAUGGGAUGGCAGGCGUGACCAUAAAGAUGAUUGGAUAUUGAACUUUGUGGGAGGGGCUGCUUCACAACCUUUAUCUCCUAUAUUUGGAAUUUAGAUCCCAUUUCGAUGGGGGAUACACUUUUGUUGCGGUUAGUAUAUUCUUAGCUCUUAUAUUUUCUCUUUUUCAUUUUUUUUUAAAAAUCAUUUUAUGUAACCUAUUGGGGGAAACAUUUGUGUGGUUAGAUGUAAUUUUAUAUAAUGUUCAAUUGUGGGUUAAGUUGCCCAAUCAAAGGAGAACUGUUAUUUGUAAGUGAGGGAUUUAAAGUUCCUUUCUUUGGAUCUGUAAUUGACUUUUUUUUUUCUUUGUUUACUGUGGGGUUUUCUUGUA